GACGAACGCUGGCGGCGUGCUUAACACAUGCAAGUCGAACGGAAAGGCCCUGCUUUUGUGGGGUGCUCGAGUGGCGAACGGGUGAGUAACACGUGAGUAACCUGGCCUUGACUUUGGGAUAACUUCAGGAAACUGGUGCUAAUACCGGAUAGGAGCUCCUGCUGCAUGGUGGGGGUUGGAAAGUUUCGGCCGUUGGGGAUGGACUCGCGGCUUAUCAGCUUGUUGGUGGGGUAGUGGCUUACCAAGGCUUUGACGGGUAGCCGGCCUGGGAGGGUGACCGGCCACAUUGGGACUGAGGUACGGCCCAGUGUCCUACGGGAGGCAGAAGGGGGGAAUAUUGCACAAUGGGCGGAAGCCUGAUGCAGCAACGCCGCGUGCGGGAUGACGGCCUUCGGGUUGUAAACCGCUUUCACCUGUGACGAAGCGUGAGUGACGGUAAUGGGUAAAGAAGCACCGGCUAACUACGUG
rnacentral:rRNA from 1 species